rnacentral:rRNA from 1 species
UACGGGGGGGGCAAGCGUUGUUCGGAAUUACUGGGCGUAAAGGGCUCGUAGGCGGCCAACUAAGUCGGACGUGAAAUCCCCAGGCUCAACCUGGGAACUGCGUCCGAUACUGGAUGGCUUGAAUCCGGGAGAGGGAUGCAGAAUUCCAGGUGUAGCGGUGAAAUGCGUAGAUAUCGGGAGGAACACCUGUGGCGAAAGCGGCGCACUGGACCACAUCUGACGCUGAGGCGCGAAAGCUAGGGGAGCAAACAGG